rnacentral:rRNA from 1 species
UGGGGAAUAUUGCACAAUGGGCGCAAGCCUGAUGCAGCCAUGCCGCGUGUGUGAAGAAGGCCUUCGGGUUGUAAAGCACUUUCAGCGGGGAGGAAGGCGGUGAGGUUAAUAACCUCAUCGAUUGACGUUACCCGCAGAAGAAGCACCGGCUAACUCCGUGCCAGCAGCCGCGGUAAUACGGAGGGUGCAAGCGUUAAUCGGAAUUACUGGGCGUAAAGCGCACGCAGGCGGUCUGUCAAGUCGGAUGUGAAAUCCCCGGGCUCAACCUGGGAACGGCAUUCGAAGCUGGCGGGCUAGAGUCUUGUAGAGGGGGGUAGAAUUCCAGGUGUAGCGGUGAACUGCGUAGAGAUCUGGAGGAAUACCGGUGGCGAAGGCGGCCCCCUGGACAAAGACUGACGCUCAGGUGCGAAAGCGUGGGGAGCAGACAGG